rnacentral:rRNA from 1 species
ACUAGCUAACUGGAUCAUGAGUGUGUCACUUGUGAUAAGGUAAAGGAAAAAUUAUGAUGUCACUUUACUAUUAGUGUUGUCCAAAGCUGGUGCCAGAAGACUCGGUAAGGCCAGAGACGCAAGCGUUAGUCAUCCUGAUCAGGCGUAAAGGGUUUGUAGGCAGCUUUAAAUUAAUUAAAGAUAGAAUCAUAUAGAGGUCACAGUCAGAUAAUUCUUAGAGUAGGGUUGAUAUCUGUAGAUACUAAGAGGAAUACUUAUUAGCGAAGGCACUUUUCCAAAUUAUGAUUGACGCUGAGAAACGAAGGGGAGGAUAGAUAAUAGGAUUAGAUACCCUGGUAUUCCUCUCUGUCAACGAUGAAUGGUAGUUGCUAGUAUACUAUAUUAGUGGCGAUGCUAACGCGUUAACCAUUCCGCCUUGUGAGUACGAUUGCAAAAUUGAAAACAAAAAAAUUAGUCGGUUUCGGAGCAAACGAAGUGAAGCAUGUUAUUUAAUUC